rnacentral:rRNA from 1 species
CUAAGGUGGGCCCUCCGUAGGUGUAGUCGUACAGACGAAGCCGAUGAGGGUUGCAGAGAAAUGGCGGUAGCGACUGUUUACCAAAAACACAGGACUCUGCGAAGACGACAAGUCGACGUAUAGGGUCUGACUCCUGCCCGGUGCUGGAAGGUUAAGGGGAUUCGUCAGCCGCAAGGCGAAGCGAUGAUCCGAAGCCCCAGUAAACGGCGCCGUAACAAUAACGGUCCUAAGGUAGCGAAAUUCCUUGUCGGGUAAGUUCCGACCUGCACGAAUGGAGUAACGACUUCCGCGCUGUCUCGGAGAGGGACUCAGCGAAAUUGAAAUAGCUGUGCCGAUGCAGUUUACCCGCAGCAAGACGGAAAGACCCCGUGAACCUUUACUACAACUUGACAGUGACACUAGGGAUUGACUGUGUAGGAUAGGUGGGAGCCUUUGAAACCGGGCCGCUAGGUUCGGUGGAGGCAACGGUGAAAUACCACCCUGUUGAUUUCUGGUGUCUAACCGUGUCCCAUAAUCUGGGAUCGGGACACUGUCUGGUGGGUAGUUUGACUGGGGCGGUCGCCUCCCAAAGCGUAACGGAGGCGCGCGAUGGUUCCCUCAGCCCGAUUGGAAACCGGGCGGCGAGUGCAAUGGCAUAAGGGAGCUUAACUGCGAGACAGACAUGUCGAGCAGGUGCGAAAGCAGGUCAUAGUGAUCCGGUGGUUCUGAAUGGAAGGGCCAUCGCUCAACGGAUAAAAGGUACUCCGGGGAUAACAGGCUUAUCUCCUCCAAGAGUUCACAUCGACGAGGAGGUUUGGCACCUCGAUGUCGGCUCAUCGCAUCCUGGGGCUGGAGCAGGUCCCAAGGGUUUGGCUGUUCGCCAAUUAAAGCGGUACGCGAGCUGGGUUCAAAACGUCGUGAGACAGUUUGGUCCCUAUCUGCUGUGGGCGUAGGAUACUUGAGAGGAUCUGUCCUUAGUACGAGAGGACCGGGAUGGAGACACCUCUGGUGUACCAGUUGUCACGCCAGUGGCAUCGCUGCGUAGCCAUGUGUCGAUUGGAUAACCGCUGAAAGCAUCUAAGCGGGAAACCGACCUCAAGAAUAGGUAUCCCGGGGGAAACCCCCUGAAGACCCGUCGAAGACUACGACGUUGAUAGGCCGGGUGUGUAAGCGUGGCAACACGUUGAGCUAACCGGUACUAAUUGGUCGUGCGGCUUACUUG